CCUACGGGUGACAGCAGUGGGGAAUAUUGGGCAAUGGGCGCAAGCCUGACCCAGCAACGCCGCGUGAAGGAAGCAGGCUUUCGGGUUGUAAAAUUCUUUUAAGAGGGAAGAGCAGAAGACGGUACCUCUUGAAUAAGCCACGGCUAACUACGUGCCAGCAGCCGCGGUAAUACGGAGGUGGCAAGCGUUGUCCGGAUGUACUGGGUGUAAAGGGCGUGCAGCCGGGAAGACAAGUCAGAUGUGAAAGCCCGCGGCUCAACCGCGGAACGGCAUUUGAAACUGUUUUGCUUGAGUACCGGAGAGGUAAACGGAAUUCCUGGUGUAGCGGUGAAAUGCGUAGAUAUAAGGAAGAACACCGGUGGCGAAGGCGGUUAACUGGACGGAAAUUGACGGGGAGGAGCGAAAGCGUGGGUAGCAAACAGGAUUAGAUACCCCGGUAGUC
rnacentral:rRNA from 1 species